rnacentral:rRNA from 1 species
CGUACACUCCUGCGGGAGGCAGCAGUGGGGAAUAUUGGACAAUGGGCGCAAGCCUGAUCCAGCCAUGCCGCGUGAGUGAUGAAGGCCCUAGGGUUGUAAAGCUCUUUCACCGGUGAAGAUAAUGACGGUAACCGGAGAAGAAGCCCCGGCUAACUUCGUGCCAGCAGCCGCGGUAAUACGAAGGGGGCUAGCGUUGUUCGGAUUUACUGGGCGUAAAGCGCACGUAGGCGGACUAUUAAGUCAGGGGUGAAAUCCCGGGGCUCAACCCCGGAACUGCCUUUGAUACUGGUAGUCUUGAGUUCGAGAGAGGUGAGUGGAAUUCCGAGUGUAGAGGUGAAAUUCGUAGAUAUUCGGAGGAACACCAGUGGCGAAGGCGGCUCACUGGCUCGAUACUGACGCUGAGGUGCGAAAGCGUGGGGAGCAAACAGGAUUAGAAACCCUAGUAGUCCCAUGA